AAACCCCGUCCGGCUGGGCCGCCCCGGGCGGAAAGGGCAGGCCGAGAGGGGACAAAGGAGCCGGGGGAAGUGCCGGAAAGGAGGGAGGAAGCCGAGGUAGAAGAGGCCCGGGCGGGCCCAGCCGAGGAGCGCAGAAAGUUGGAGCUGAGAGCGGAGAAGACGGAGCCCGGAGCCGCGGGAGCUUUGUGUGGGGCCGGGAAGGCGCCCGGAGAGCCGCCCCCCCCCCCCCCUUCCUCCAUCUUGGCCGGCCUCGGGGCGGGGGCCGGGGCCGGCGGGGCCUGUCCCGCUGUGGCGGGGGGAGCCGGGGGGGCCGGUUCGGGGGGGGCCGGGACACCCGAGGUGGCCGAAGCUGCAAGAAGACACCAAGUUGUGGAAGGAAAAGAGCUGAAACCAAGACCUGGGGAGCGGCAGAGGGGGCGCCUCAGUACCUCAGGCUGAGCGAGCAGAGAAGUUCCUAUCGUUGGAGAUGUCUUGAUGUACGCUCAGCUCUGGAGAGCCAGGUUUGCCGCUUGGACGCGUGAAGCUUGUGGAAUAAAUAUAGAAGGUGUCCUUGGAUCAGCCAGGUCCAUUCCGAUCUCCACAGGGACCCCGGUCUCCGUCCAUCUUUCUACACGCCCUGGAGAGAAGGUUACCUUCAAAGAUCAAGCCUUAUCCCAGGACCAGGACGCAUCACGAUUUCAGUUCAUCAGGAGCAGAGAAAUACGUUUGCGUUUGGGUCACCCAACACUCCCUUCCUCAACCUUUCCGCCUGCGAGCAUGCCGCGCGGCACGCCUGCCGAGACCCCCCCCAUUGACGGGAUUUCCAGUCUCUGGUGGAAAACCAGUCCCCCUCUCUCAGCUGCUGGUGACACCAGCUCCUGCCAAAUCCCCUGGGAGCACCGGAGCCUGACGGAGCGUUUUGGCAGCGGAGAGAUGAGUGAGUGAGAGAGGAACCGAGCGGGAACCCCCGGGACGGGGGAGAGAAGGAUAAAGCAGCUGCGGAGCAGAGACCGACGGGGGGCUCUGACGGGAUGAGAGAGCGGGAAAGGGAGCUGAAGCCCUACGAGGUGCUGUGGAGAUCGAGGAAGGGAUUUGCUCUAAGUCUUUAAAAAGAGGCAACCGAACGUAACGGGGUUUUUCCAAAUAUUUAGGCGGCGUGCUCUUGACUUCUGUCCGGCUUUCAGUGGCGCGUUCCCCCGCCAGCCCAGCAGCACCUCUCUCGGGCAGUGCCGCCGGCCAGAUGUCCCUCCUCCUUGUGUAGCGCACAAAAAGCCCCGCAGUCCGAUUAUAACUGUGUAUUUUGGGGAGAGAGAGAGAGUGUCGUGGUAUCAAUUCCCAGCUGUGCGAGCUAAAGUACCGCCAGAGGAAAGUCAGAUACUUUUAUAGCGUAUUUUUAUUGGGUGCACGUAAACCUAUCGCUCACCUUUUCAGGGAAACGGGAAGGGGCCGGUGUUGCCCAGCGCCGGCCGGAGGGUUCGCUGUUACACUCAGAACACGUUCGAAAUGGCAUCAAUUCGUCUUAAUCCUGAUUUUAAGGGUUUGGAUGGCUCCGGCUUCUGCGGGCUGUGCUGUAUUUCGAGCUGAGCUGUUUCCCCACAAUCCUCCUGUAGCUCAGCUCCUGUCCCGUCCCUCAGUCUGACGGAAUUCCUGUCUUUUCUGCUAGUUAUUUAGCCCGCUGAACUCUUUAAUUGGGGAUUUUUGUUUUCCAGGUGCCUCGUUGGGCGCGUCUGGUGCUGCUCGAGAGAUGCCCCAGCCCAGGUUUGCAGCCGGUGGCGGAGCCCCCCUGAGAGGAAGAGGCCGGCCCUGGGUCUGGGCGUUUUGGGCCUUUUUUUUUUUUUUUUUUGGUGAAUAAAAAG